rnacentral:tRNA from 1 species
CCCCUCUUCUCUGGUAACCCGCCGCCGGUCAUAUAGAGUGCUCCGCCCGCCACCGCAUAUGUAGAAAAAGAGGGAGCGGGGAAGGAAGAACAACCGUUUUACUUUGGCACAUGAGGUGUUAUUUGUUUGGCUGGGUAACAUAAUGGAAAUGUAUCGGACUGCAAAUCCUGGAAUGACGGUUCGACCCCGUCCUUGGCCUCGGGGAGUGGCGAGCAGCACGGAACUAAAAUAAAAAAAAUGGCAUAACAAACAAAGGGGGGCUUUCCUUUUUUAUAAAUCCACAGACAACAUUCUGGAACUUCCAAACCAAAGAAAUGCAAGAUGAGAAGUUUUACGUUACGCUUCAAUAGAAUUAAUUCGGUAAGGGUAGAGCCCCAUGGUCGAUCGAAGGUCCUGUGCCACUUGAACUCAAAUCUAUCUUACCUUCUAUCCAUCUUUGUCCAGCCAGCUCAUAAAUGUUAGACCAACCAAUCUCAGGGCUGACACAACCGAAUUGGUUGAGGAAAAGGAAAGCCCAGCGACCAAGCACUCCCGCCUCCAAAAAAAAGCGGAGACCGAACAACCGCCAGGUUGUCGAAGACACGUCUGAAGAGGAGGCGGGCGCCCUCUAAGUUGACCACCCUACCCACUAAUGGACUAUGAGGGGGGGCAGGCGAACGGGAACCGACCGAGAACCCGAACCGCUUGACUGACCCCUUCAUACAUACUCGAUUAAUUAGGGUCGGGGAUGGAUGAAAUAAUAAAAGAAGUGAAAAAAAUAGCGCAAGCGAAGCCGGGAAAGGGACCGCAGCGCAACGACUAGGACUCGUGUCGGAGGAGUUUUGAGCGUGAGCUACCACUCAUGCAGCGGCAAGGACCCGCAACUCUCGAAGGGGCCACCAACCGCCCGAAUCACUGUAGUGUAGCAAACCCUCCCUUUACUCAAUGGAUAGCGCUUAUCCUCUUUCAAUCAACAAAAUGAGAAAUGGAGGAGAAAGAUAGAGGUCUUUAUUGAAGAGGCUUUGCACCUAGGACUAAUAAAGAUCCAGAAGAAUGGGUCUAGGCUUUCGAAAAGAUUAAGAUGCAAAGGGUAAAGAGAAAAGAAAUGUCUUUUGAACAACCAACCUGACAUAAGGAUUCUAGCUCGCCCAGUUAGAGCAGAUGGAGAUUAUCGGACGGGGAAAAGCGGCACUCGACCGACAUCUAUUCUAUUAAACAAGACCAAGAACAAAGCCAUACCAUGCCCUCGGGAGAAAGUAGUGAUGAUUGCCAUGAAUGCUGCCCUAGCUAUUGGACGUGUACAAGAAGGUCUUUGCCGAUUCCUAUCAACAUGGUGCACCUCUCAGUAGUAGAGGGGCGUGAAAAGGCCGUGGAGACUUUGACCGAAUGAAUAGGUAUCAAUUGAUAGACAUUUUGAUUGAGGAAGAUAAUCCAGGAUGAAGGCUUUUUUCGUUCGCUAUGUGCUGACUGGAUGCUCGCGUGAUCGAUCGAUGGACGGGGGAAUUGCAUGAAUGACGAGACCGGCCUAACCUAAAGUCAAGUUCCCUCUCUUGAUGGCGAAUCUUGAUUGACUGACAGACGGAACCGAUUCGGAGAAACAAGAAGCAUGAGAUACGCGGCGGCAAAAUUUCCGAUAGCGAAUUACUUGACUCGAUGGAUGGAGGGCCCUACAACUCAAGCACGAAAUAAAUGUUGAGUCAACAAUCAAUCAUCGAGAGGGGCACCGCCAAGCGAGAUCGAGACCAGCACCUUGUUGUAUAUAUAGGUUGGGGAAAAGCCCCUUUAUUUUUUUUAUAGGGUUCCCUGCGCUUCUUCUAAUAUCCCAUCAAUCAAUAAAGUAGGGGCUUCAAAGCUAGCUUGUAGUUUAGGGGUAGGGAACCCUAUAAAAUAGUCCCGCGUGCAAUGGCUUUAUCUGAUGGGGGCUCGCUUCAAAAAGCGGAGCUUGCUUUCUACUAAACGAGCCUUCACUGCCCGCCCGGCCCCUAUCUUUAAUCUUAAGUAAAGUGAAGUCAAAUCAAUGAAGUGAACAGCCCAACCUCUUUGUUUGAAGCUUUGCUUCCCCUAAUUCCAAAAAAGAAUAAAUAGACUUGCUACUAUAGUUAUAGUAUAGGAAAAAGCUUCUCUUUGAUAGCGGUCAUAGGGGGGUUAAGAAAGAAUCUUAUCGUAGAUAGAGACUAAAACCUGUGCGGGGGUAGGGGCGGAUGUAGCCAAGUGGAUCAAGGCAGUGGAUUGUGAAUCCACCACGCGCGGGUUCAAUCCCCGUCGUUCGCCCAUCAAUAAAUGGACCAUUUGUUACGGAGACACAAGACAAACCUAGAAAGAAUUUUUUCUUCAAGUAAUCUCGAGGCUUUCAAAGGCAUCCAAGCAAUUGGUACCCGAUUGAAAGAUAGAAACCAUAGAUUCGCGUCGCCUACUUGCUGAAAGCACAAAUGGAAUGGCUGAUCAUUUAUUGUAUUAAGUUUUUAAGACCUCACUAAUCAGCCUUACACUUUUUUUUUAGUUCAUAAUGAAUGAAAUUAACCCCCGGAUUCGGAUUCGGAAGAGGAAGAAGAAUCGGAAUCGGAAGAGGAAGAAGAGACAUUAUCCCCUCCCUCUUACUAAACCAUGGGGAGCCCCGACUAGUUUACCGGGCAAAUUUCGUUGUCGUGACGAUACCUUUCUUAGUGGAAGAUCGGAAAUUCUCUUCAUCACGAUCCGAUCCGCCGUAGACACCCGAGAGACCUCCACAAGGCAGGCUAAAAGAUUAAGAGGAAAAAAAGCAAAGAGUUACGCUUUCUUUUCUCUUCCCUUGAACUUGAACCGUAGUAUUCCCGCAAAAAACGAAUUGAACCGGGUCUGGCUGAGCCCUUCUGUCCAUCCAUACAAAGAACCGAUUCUUGUGCAACAAAAAGCGGUGUCGACUCUUUAACGACAUCGUCCGCAAAUCGAGAUCUAUUGGAGAGAGUCAUCGAAUCGUCCUUGAUUCCUCGAUUGAAUUUAGCUAAUCGUUUCUUUGGUAAAGGCUAGGAAAAGGUCAGCCCGUCAUUAAAUUCCUUGUCAGGAAGGGUUAGCCCCAAGCCAGCCUUCUCUUGGAUAUCCAAAAAGGCAAGAUUAAAGCGGUUUUAACGAUAGGUUGCUUUCCUUGGUCUUAUAGUUAGUGACCUAUAGCCGGCAGAUAGGGGCGGAGUUUGCUUGCUCUUCACUCAGGGGCUGCUCCUAAAGAUGCUCUUCUUCUUUCCUUGGGGCUCUUAGAAAUGAUAACCUAGUGAAAGUGCCUCAUAAGGGCGAUUAUCGCUAUAUAACGAACGAAAAGACGAAUGUUAGGAAGUUAAGGACGAGACUCAGAAGGACAAAGCUAGACUUCCCAAGGACGAGUUGAAUUGCCUUAUAGUAUAGGGAGGGGGUAGGGAAGACCCCGAAAAAAAAAGAUCUGUCGAAGCAGGACAGGAUAGGGCAAACUAUACUUUCAAUCUGCGUAAAAGAAGUGAGAAUGAGCUUGGCCCGUCCGUAAGCUCCCUCCGGAAAGGAAAAGAAUCUUAUCCGAUCGGCCUGUCCGCUCAUUCUCACAUUUUACUAAUUGGUUGAAAUGUCCCUUCCCUUAAUUAAGGCUUAGGACAGCGCAUCUUUCAGGCCUUGAAUAGCUUUAAUCGGUAAAAUGACAUCCAUAUCCAUGGACACCAAAGGCUUCCUAGCCGGAGAAAGUACAUACUGUUCAGUCUACAGAGCCCUGAUAAGUUCUAUCGAAGCCGAUCUUGCUAAUCGCGAACCCCUCGUC